CUUUGCAAAAUAAAGACACGCAGCCGCCAUCUUGCGCCGAGAAGCCGGUGAAAAUAUAAGCUUGGAUUUCGAGAAGACUCAAGGGCAAGAAUGAGUAUCGGUAGAACAGUAUACAACGCUUUGUUCCGUCGAACCUCCACAUUCGCAGUUACUAUUGUUAUUGGGGCGUUUGCAUUCGAGAGAGUGUUUGAUGAAGGAAUGGAUAACUUAUGGGAAAGAAUGAACCGAGGGAAAUUGUGGAAACACAUAAAGCACAGAUAUGUCAAGGAUGCAGAAGAUGCUGAUGAAUAACACUGAGAAGGAACAUGCUUUAGUUAAAGAAUUUUGCUUGGUCUUGUAAACUUUUCAAGAAUAAUGUCUGGGAGUUUUGUGAAUACUUGAGGAUGCAUCUAACUUUUUAUUGUAAAUCUAAACAAGCUUAUACUCUAUGUUCUCUCUUGUGAUGGUUGGAUUGAACUGUGCAUGGACUCAAUGUUGUAAAAAGAUGAUAAACUUUUUGUUACCUUCACUAAGAAAAUAAAAUAAUUAAAGAUUAUAAUUGUUUUC